GACGAACGCUGGCGGCGUGCCUAAUACAUGCAAGUUGAGCGAUGAAGAUUGGUGCUUGCACCAAUUUGAAGAGCAGCGAACGGGUGAGUAACGCGUGGGGAAUCUGCCUUUGAGCGGGGGACAACAUUUGGAAACGAAUGCUAAUACCGCAUAACAACUUUAAACAUAAGUUUUAAGUUUGAAAGAUGCAAUUGCAUCACUCAAAGAUGAUCCCGCGUUGUAUUAGCUAGUUUGUGAGGUAAAGGCUCACCAAGGCGAUGAUACAUAGCCGACCUGAGAGGGUGAUCGGCCACAUUUGGACUGAGACACGGCCCAAACUCCUACGGGAGGCAGCAGUAGGGAAUCUUCGGCAAUGGACGAAAGUCUGACCGAGCAACGCCGCGUGAGUGAAGAAGGUUUUCGGAUCGUAAAACUCUGUUGGUAGAGAAGAACGUUGGUGAGAGUGGAAAGCUCAUCAAGUGACGGUAACUACCCAGAAAGGGACGGCUAACUACGUG
rnacentral:rRNA from 1 species